AGAACGAACGCUGGCGGCGUACUUAACACAUGCAAGUCGGACGAGAAAGGGAGCUUCGGUUCCUGAGUAAAGUGGCGAACGGGUGCGUAACACGUGAGUAAUCUACCCUAGACACUGGGAUAACUUUCCGAAAGGAGCUAAUACCGGAUAGGUCCUUAUAGCAACAGCCAUGAGGGGAAAGCAGGCCUCUGUUUCAUGCUUGCAGUUUAGGAUGAGCUUGCGGCUCAUUAGCUAGUUGGUA
rnacentral:rRNA from 1 species